rnacentral:rRNA from 1 species
UACAGAGGUCUCAAGCGUUGUUCGGACUCAUUGGGCGUAAAGGGUGCGUAGGCGGCCAACUAAGUCGGAUGUGAAAUCCCCAGGCUCAACUUGGGAACUGCAUCCGAUACUGGAUGGCUUGAAUUCGGGAGAGGGAUGCAGAAUUCCAGGUGUAGCGGUGAAAUGCGUAGAUAUCUGGAGGAAUACCGGUGGCGAAGGCGGCAUCCUGGACCGACAUUGACGCUGAGGAGCGAAAGCUAGGGGAGCAAACGGG